rnacentral:rRNA from 1 species
AGUCGAACGGGAAUCUUCGGAUUCUAGUGGCGGACGGGUGAGUAACGCGUAAGAAUCUAACUUCAGGACGGGGACAACAGUUGGAAACGACUGCUAAUACCCGAUGUGCCGCAAGGUGAAACCUAAUUGGCCUGGAGAAGAGCUUGCGUCUGAUUAGCUAGUUGGUGGGGUAAAGGCCUACCAAGGCGACGAUCAGUAGCUGGUCUGAGAGGAUGAGCAGCCACACUGGGACUGAGACACGGCCCAGACUCCUACGGGAGGCAGCAGUGGGGAAUUUUCCGCAAUGGGCGAAAGCCUGACGGAGCAACGCCGCGUGAGGGAGGAAGGUCUUUGGAUUGUAAACCUCUUUUCUCAAGGAAGAAGUUCUGACGGUACUUGAGGAAUCAGCCUCGGCUAACUCCGUGCCAGCAGCCGCGGUAAUACGGGGGAGGCAAGCGUUAUCCGGAAUUAUUGGGCGUAAAGCGUCCGCAGGUGGUCAGCCAAGUCUGCCGUCAAAUCAGGUUGCUUAACGACCUAAAGGCGGUGGAAACUGGCAGACUAGAGAGCAGUAGGGGUAGCAGGAAUUCCCAGUGUAGCGGUGAAAUGCGUAGAGAUUGGGAAGAACAUCGGUGGCGAAAGCGUGCUACUGGGCUGUAUCUGACACUCAGGGACGAAAGCUAGGGGAGCGAAAGGGAUUAGAUACCCCUGUAGUCCUAGCCGU